GUUAAGACACUGUGAAUGUUUGUGAGAGAUUAAUGUUUGUGGAUGAUGUUAUCACUCCUAAAUAGAUCGUAAACUUUCAUGCAGAAAGGGUAUAUGUAGGAAGAAUGAGACACCUCUCCUGGCUUCUGAUGUUCCCAUCCCUGAGGAGGAACACCUAUUACUCUAAUACUCCCGCCUCUGUUUCACACCUUUACUCACUUUCCCC
rnacentral:lncRNA from 1 species